rnacentral:rRNA from 1 species
AUGAACGCUGGCGGCGUGCCUAAUACCUGCAAGUCGAGCGAACAGAUGAGGAGCUUGCUCCUCUGACGUUAGCGGCGGACGGGUGAGUAACACGUGGAUAACCUACCUAUAAGACUGGGAUAACUUCGGGAAACCGGAGCUAAUACCGGAUAAUAUAUUGAACCGCAUGGUUCAAUAGUGAAAGACGGUUUUGCUGUCACUUAUAGAUGGAUCCGCGCCGCAUUAGCUAGUUGGUAAGGUAACGGCUUACCAAGGCAACGAUGCGUAGCCGACCUGAGAGGGUGAUCGGCCACACUGGAACUGAGACACGGUCCAGACUCCUACGGGAGGCAGCAGUAGGGAAUCUUCCGCAGUGGGCGAAAGCCUGACGGAGCAACGCCGCGUGAGUGAUGAAGGUCUUCGGAUCGUAAAACUCUGUUAUUAGGGAAGAACAAAUGUGUAAGUAACUAUGCACGUCUUGACGGUACCUAAUCAGAAAGCCACGGCUAACUACGU